CACCAAAAAACACCAGCCGCCAUAGAUAGAAGAAGGAAACAGCCUCCGCCACAUUCGAGGUUAAGCCGCCGCCACCUUCGAAGUUAAGCCGCCGCCACCAAACAAACACCCUCCUUUUGGCACUACUCACCCCUCAUACUUUCUGUAAUAAAAAUGCUGAAUCAGCAAAUCACGUUUUGAAGAUGGCCAAAAUCUAUUGCCUGGGCUGGAGCGGCUGGAGGCUUUGUCCAGUCCUAUUGUGAGUCACAGUGACAUAGCCAGGACCAUGGAGAGAGACCAUUGCUGAGGAGGUGGGAAUGGCAAGUUCCUGACCAAUCAGAUGAUCCUACAUGACGAAGCUGCUCGUAAAGAUGCAAGUCUGAUGACAAACUCAGGAUGAUGAGGCCAUGUUCAAGCUGAACCCCAAUGCAAAGACGUCAAGUUCAAGCUGAAUGCCUAAGAGUUCAAACCUCCGAGAGCAAGCUUCUCUCCAGUGGUCACUGCCUCCUCCACACUCUCCGAGACAAGGCGACUGUCGAGUCCUCAGCCUCUGCCCUACAGGAGCAAAAUAAUUCCGUUUCUGCUUGUGUCACCAAACUGGAGGUAAAAGUUUACGUAAGGACUUUGAGAAGGAGCGGAAAAAUGAGUACAAAGAGAAGUACCUCUCGCUAUUAGAUAAAGCACCAUCACUCUCUUUAUUGCCUCCCAAGAAGUUAAGUAGCUAACUGUUCUCUGUGGAUGAGUGCUGACUCGGCUUUGUUUAAGUCCAAGAGCAAGAAAUCAAAGUGGCUCGACUAGUGAGUUGUGUCAUGUCAGUUAGUGUGUAGAGUUGUAGUGAAGCUUUUCUUAUUCUAGUCACUCUAUAGAGAUUAUUAUAGAAUACAGUCAGGUUAAUUAAUGGACUCCAUAGCGGACCUAUGCCACCUCUAGAGUACAGCUAUACUGUUUCACUGUAUAUCUUGAAGUAACAUUAUAAUCUAGUGCAAUAAGAUACUAUUAGUGUUAUGAUUCUACUAAAACUCGUUCUCAAAAGUUUCAGCCCUAUCUAAGUCUAGUUUUAUUUUUUUGCUCCCGUUACUUGCUGCUUAGCCAGAUCAUACUAUUGUACCGUAUAGCAUGUAAUUUUCGUGGGGCAAAAUAUUCGUGGUUUUCGUUUUCGUGGUUGGAGGUCUGACCAUGAAUAUUACCCACGAAUGAAGCGACCAUGCCUACCUUUACCUGCAGUGCAAGCAGCAACCACGAAAAUAUUACCCACGAAAUGUCUCAAUAUUGCUGAACCACGAAUAUUUUGUCCCCUGAAAAUUACCCGCUAUACAGUAUAACACUCCUCUGGUUUCUAUAGAUCUUUAUUAUUUAUGUCAACAGCCGAGGGUAGCACUUCAGUGCUCUAGUUCUAAUUGUAGAUUGACUGAUUGAUUUGUCUUCUGUACUAUUGUUUGAUUUUUCCACCCCUCAUCUUUUCCGGCCCCUAGUUAUGCGGCCAUUUUUCAGCCCGGCCAAGUGUUGAGGAGACAAGAAGAGGCACUGACAAUGGAGGUAGAGGUACAGAGUACGUUAGCUGGAAAAUGCAUUUGUGUCAUACUUUGUGGAGUUCCUUAAAUUCAUUCAAGGUCAGCUAUAGUGUGUCCUACUUGAAGGUGUGCAAUGUACAAUCAUGUACGACCCCCCCCCACACACACACACCGUUAGGCCUACUAUGCUGCUAAGAAAGAGAGGGGCCUCACGUAAACUGGCCACUCAGUGUGACUAUGACCAUGUGACUCUUUAACCCCUCAGUUCCCGAGCCCCACCCCUCACUGUCUGACUCGGAAGAGGAGAUAGACUUUGUAUUCUGGGAGAAGGUGUCCACCCUACCCUCGGACAAGACCCCCAACCAAGGACCUGAACUUGUUAUGAGACUGUUAAAUAUUAUUUUGUAGUAUUAUUAUGUACUUCGUGUCAUAAUAAUAUUAUUAUUAACUUAUUAUUAAUUCUGUUGCAACUUCUUAAUUAGAACAUAAUAAAAAAUUUCA